CUCAGGGUCAGGAAGGAGCCCAGCCUCUCCAGGAGCCAGAUGGGCCCGCAGCAGGGUGGGUUGGGGGGAUGUGGAUUGCUUGAGCCUAAGGAGGGGAAGAGGAGAAGGCACUGCAGAGAGGGGUCUCACGCUGUCUUGCAGCUCUCCCAGGGCUGAUGUUGAGUUCAGAUCAGCUGGAUCUGGUCUACAGCACGCUGGGGCUCUGCCUGUGCACCGUCCUUUGCCGCUUCCUGGUGACAGUGGCCUGCUUCCUCAAGAAGAGGGGGGAUCCCCGCUCCUGCCAGUCCCACUCAAGUCCCUGUCAAAGUCUGGCCAAGUCUUCCCAUGAUCACGAGAUGAAAGCCAGCAGCCCUGGGGCACGUCUCCUGAGCCAGGGGAGACCUGCAGCUUCUGCUUCCCUGAGCACAGCACGCCCACCCAGGAGAGCGCGGUCAUACCUGGGACCCUCAACCCUGUGGGUGAUGGAAGGUGGAGGCAUCCUGUGAGGGUGCCCUGAUAGAUGGCAGCCUUGGCAUUGUGUGCGGACACACCCAAGAGAGGGUCCUAAGUGCUGGAACAGGGGCAAGGAGGAAGAGGAGGAGGGAAAGAGAUGGAGAGAGAGAGAGGAAAAAAAGAGAGAUGAAGAGAAAGACAGAGGAGGCAGAGAGGAAGAGAGAGACAGAGCAGGAGGUCGUGGCACUCUGGGUCCCAGUUCCCAGUGCAGCUGUAGGUUGCCAUCACCUAACCACAUGUGCAAUAAAGUCCUCGUGCCUCCUGCUCACAGCCCCCGAGAGCCCCUCCUCCUGGAGAAUAAAACCUUAGGCGGCUGCCCUUCC
rnacentral:lncRNA from 1 species